UACGUAGGCAGCGAGCGUUUGUUCGGAGUUACUGGGCGUAAAGGGUGUGUAGGCGGUCCCUUAAGUUUGGUGUGAAAUCUCCCGGCUCAACUGGGAGGGUGCGCCGGAUACUGAGGGGCUAGAGUGCGGGAAGGGAAAGUGGAAUUCCUGGUGUAGCGGUGAAAUGCGUAGAUAUCAGGAGGAACACCGGUGGUGCAAACGGCUUUCUGGACCGUAACUGACGCUGAGACACGAAAAGCGUGGGGGAGCAAAACAGG
rnacentral:rRNA from 1 species